rnacentral:rRNA from 1 species
GACGAACGCUGGCGGCGUGCUUAACACAUGCAAGUCGAACGGAAAGGCCCUGCUUUUGUGGGGUGCUCGAGUGGCGAACGGGUGAGUAACACGUGAGUAACCUGCCCUUGACUUUGGGAUAACUUCAGGAAACUGGGGCUAAUACCGGAUAGGAGCUCCUGCUGCAUGGUGGGGGUUGGAAAGGUUCGGCGGUUGGGGAUGGACUCGCGGCUUAUCAGCUUGUUGGUGGGGUAGUGGCUUACCAAGGCUUUGACGGGUAGCCGGCCUGAGAGGGUGACCGGCCACAUUGGGCCUGAGAUACGGCCCAGACUCCUACGGGAGGCAGCAGUGGGGAAUAUUGCACAAUGGGCGGAAGCCUGAUGCAGCAACGCCGCGUGCGGGAUGACGGCCUUCGGGUUGUAAACCGCUUUCGCCUGUGACGAAGCGUGAGUGACGGUAAUGGGUAAAGAAGCACCGGCUAACUACGUG